AGUGAACGCUGGCGGUAGGCCUAACACAUGCAAGUCGAACGGCAGCACAGGAGAGCUUGCUCUCUGGGUGGCGAGUGGCGGACGGGUGAGGAAUACAUCGGAAUCUACUCUGUCGUGGGGGAUAACGUAGGGAAACUUACGCUAAUACCGCAUACGACCUGCGGGUGAAAGCAGGGGAUCUUCGGACCUUGCGCGAUUGAAUGAGCCGAUGUCGGAUUAGCUAGUUGGCGGGGUAAAGGCCCACCAAGGCGACGAUCCGUAGCUGGUCUGGGAGGAUGGUCAGCCACACUGGAACUGAGACACGGUCCAGACUCCUACGGGAGGCAGCAGUGGGGAAUAUUGGACAAUGGGCGCAAGCAUGAUCCAGCCAUACCGCGUGGGUGAAGAAGGCCUUCGGGUUGUAAAGCCCUUUUGUUGGGAAAAAAAUCCAGCUGGCUAAUACCCGGUUGGGAUGACGGUACCCAAAGAAUAAGCACCGGCUAUCUUCGUGCCAGCCGCCGCCGUAA
rnacentral:rRNA from 1 species